GAUGAACGCUGGCGGCGUGCUUAACACAUGCAAGUCGAACGAUGAAGCUCAGCUUGCUGGGUGGAUUAGUGGCGAACGGGUGAGUAACACGUGAGUAACCUGCCCUUAACUCUGGGAUAAGCCUGGGAAACUAGGUCUAAUACCGGAUAGGAGCGCCUACCGCAUGGUGGGUGUUGGAAAGAUUUAUCGGUUUUGGAUGGACUCGCGGCCUAUCAGCUUGUUGGUGAGGUAAUGGCUCACCAAGGCGACGACGGGUAGCCGGCCUGAGAGGGUGACCGGCCAACAUGGGACUGAGACACGGCCCAGACUCCUACGAGAGGCAGCAGUGGGGAAUAUUGCACAAUGGGCGAAAGCCUGAUGCAGCGACGCCGCGUGAGGGAUGACGGCCUUCGGGUUGUAAACCUCUUUCAGUAGGGAAGAAGCGAAAGUGACGGUACCUGCAGAAGAAGCACCGGCUAACUACGUG
rnacentral:rRNA from 1 species